rnacentral:rRNA from 1 species
GCAAGUCGAGCGAACUGAUUAGAAGCUUGCUUCUAUGACGUUAGCGGCGGACGGGUGAGUAACACGUGGGCAACCUGCCUGUAAGACUGGGAUAACUUCGGGAAACCGAAGCUAAUACCGGAUAGGAUCUUCUCCUUCAUGGGAGAUGAUUGAAAGAUGGUUUCGGCUAUCACUUACAGAUGGGCCCGCGGUGCAUUAGCUAGUUGGUGAGGUAACGGCUCACCAAGGCAACGAUGCAUAGCCGACCUGAGAGGGUGAUCGGCCACACUGGGACUGAGACACGGCCCAGACUCCUACGGGAGGCAGCAGUAGGGAAUCUUCCGCAAUGGACGAAAGUCUGACGGAGCAACGCCGCGUGAGUGAUGAAGGCUUUCGGGUCGUAAAACUCUGUUGUUAGGGAAGAACAAGUACAAGAGUAACUGCUUGUACCUUGACGGUACCUAACCAGAAAGCCACGGCUAACUACGUGCCAGCAGCCGCGGUAAUACGUAGGUGGCAAGCGUUAUCCGGAAUUAUUGGGCGUAAAGCGCGCGCAGGCGGUUUCUUAAGUCUGAUGUGAAAGCCCACGGCUCAACCGUGGAGGGUCAUUGGAAACUGGAACUUGAGUGCAGAAGAGAAAAGCGGAAUUCCACGUGUAGCGGUGAAAUGCGUAGAGAUGUGGAGGAACACCAGUGGCGAAGGCGGCUUUUUGGUCUGUA